rnacentral:misc_RNA from 1 species
CUCCCCUCCCCCUCGAGAUCUGGCUACCAUUCAAAUCCCGGAGCGUGUCGGCAUCCAGAGGCGCAUCCCCCACGGCGCCGGCCCCGCGCGACUUAUUCCACCGAGAUCACUCGUGCCGCGGCGCGCUCGCCUCGCCUCAGGUAGCUUCUAGAAUCUUCUUCUCAGAGGCUCCCAAAGCCCCCCUUUAUCCUUCUGCUGCUGCUGCUGCUCCUUCUCCUCCCUCCGCCCACGCCGGCGCGGGGAUAGGGGCUCCGCGUAGUCUCCGGCUCGCUGCCGGCGAAGUGGUCGGUUCCGGCGCGGGCGGCCCUGGAAUAUGAUUUCCCUCUCUUUUUUGAGGAAAAAGGUGAAAUAAAAAGGUUUU